rnacentral:rRNA from 1 species
GGAGCCAUCCUUGGGAUACCACCCUUGUAGUACUGGGACUCUAACCAUAGGCCAUGAAUCUGGUCUUGGGACACUGUCAGGUGGGCAGCUUGACUGGGGCGGUCGCCUCCCAAAAGGUAACGGAGGCGCGCAAAGGUUCUCUCAGUACGGUCGGAAAUCGUACGUAGAGUGUAAAGGCAAAAGAGAGCUUGAUUGCAAGACAUACAGGUCGAGCAAGGAUGAAAAUCGGACUUAGUGAUCCGGUGGUUCUGCGUGGA